GCACAACGCGAAGAACCUUACCUGGGCUUGACAUGGUAGUCGUAGACUUGUGAAAGCUUGUCGUCACUUCGGGUGGACUAUCACAGGUGCUGCAUGGCUGUCGUCAGCUCGUGUCGUGAGAUGUUGGGUUAAGUCCCCGUAACGAGCGCAACCCCUAUGAACUGUUGCCAGCGGGUAAUGCCGGGGACUCUGUUCAGACUGCCCAGAUUAACUGGGAGGAAGGAGGGGAUGACGUCAAGUCAGUAUGGCCCUUACGCCCAGGGCUGCACACGUGCUACAAUGUCCAGUACAAUAUGAACCGAUACCGCGAGGUGGAGGAAAUCUCAAAAACUGGGCUCAGUUCGGAUUGUAGGCUGCAACUCGCCUACAUGAAGUUGGAAUCGCUAGUAAUGGUGCAUCAGCUACGGCACCGUGAAUACGUUCCCGGGUCUUGUACACACCG
rnacentral:rRNA from 1 species